rnacentral:lncRNA from 1 species
UUGACCAGCUCCGAGCUUGGGAGAUAGCGAGGAGAUCAACCUCCAAGCAGGGAGAUGGAGGUUGCGGUGGUCGUCGGGCCGAUAGUGAAGCUCUUGCCCGAGGAGAUCAACCUCCAAGCAGGGAGAUGGAGGUUGCGGUGGUCGGCGGGCCGAUAGUGAAGCUCUUGCCAAAGCUCCUAUCGGUGAUAGAUGGGAAACGGAAGCAGCUGGACAGCCUGGAGGUAGACGCCGGAUUCAUCCGGCGCGACCUGCAGUCGAUCCAAGAAAUCAUUGGCCGCUCGAAUGGCAGCAGAUCCAUCACGGACCUCUGGGUCCGUGAUCUCAGGCGCUUGGCGGACGACAUGGAAGACUGCAUCGACCGCUUCCAGGUCGGGAAGAUGAGCAGAAUCAGUUUCGUUGGGAAGAUCUGCAAACUGAAGAAGAGGUCCAAGGAGACUCUCGAGCAGCUACAGAACUGCAUCAGCAUCGCGGGCGCCGCCGCACCGGCACCUGACCCCCCCUCUGCACCUGGUGGCACUGAUCAGGAUCCGGAAGAGCAACUUCUUGGCCUGCUUGCGCGGAGCCAACCGGAGGGGAAUCUCAAGGUCAUCUCCGUCGCCGGCUUCAGUGGAGUAGGUAUGACUCGCCUUGCCCACAAGGUUUACAGUGACAGGGAUGUGCGCAGCCAGUUCCCUCUGCACGCCUGGGUUCGUGCAGCACCGGGCAUGAGUGUGCUCAAGCUUCUUCAGAAAAUACAUGACCAACUGAUGUUAAUCAGUAUUACCAAGGAUCAUGGUGAGACUGCNNN